rnacentral:rRNA from 1 species
UCCUGGCUCAGGAUGAACGCUGGCGGCGUGCUUAACACAUGCAAGUCGAACGGAGUUAAGAAGGAAGCUUGCUUUCAUUUAAACUUAGUGGCGGACGGGUGAGUAACGCGUGAGGAACCUGCCCUUCAGUGGGGAACAACAACUAGAAAUGGUUGCUAAUACCGCAUAAUGUCGGAGAGCCGCAUGACUUUCCGACCAAAGGAUUUAUUCGCUGAAGGAUGGCCUCGCGUCCGAUUAGGUAGUUGGUGAGGUAACGGCCCACCAAGCCUACGAUCGGUAGCCGAACUGAGAGGUUGAUCGGCCACAUUGGGACUGAGACACGGCCCAGACUCCUACGGGAGGCAGCAGUGGGGAAUAUUGGGCAAUGGGCGAAAGCCCUGACCCAGCAACGCCGCGUGAAGGAUGACGGUCUUCGGAUUGUAAACUUCUUUAAUUGGGGAAGAACAAAAUGACCUACCCAAAGAAUAAGUCACGGCUAACUACGUGCCAGCCGCUGC